rnacentral:rRNA from 1 species
GCAUAUCAAUAAGCGGAGGAAAAGAAACUAACAAGGAUUCCCUUAGUAACGGCGAGUGAAGAGGGAAAAGCUCAAAUUUUAAAUCUAUCAUGUUUGUACAUGAUCGAAUUGUAAUUUGAAGAAGCGUUUUCUCGUACUUUAUGCAAUCAGUAUAAGUUCUCUUGGAACAGGACAUCAUAGAGGGUGAUAAUCCCGUCUGUUACUGGUUGUGAGGUUCGUUAUGAUACGCUUUCAAAGAGUCGAGUUGUUUGGGAUUGCAGCUCCAAAUGGGUGGUAAACAUCACCUAAGGCUAAAUAUUUGCGAGAGACCGAUAGCGAACAAGUACCGUGAGGGAAAGAUGAAAAGAACUUUGAAAAGAGAGUUAAAAAGUAUGUGAAAUUGUUGAAAGGGAAACGAUUGAAGUCAGUCGUGCAGUCAUCAAUUCAGCGGUUAACAUUUUAUGUUUCCGUGUAAUUUGGUGUCUGUUGGUUAGCAUCAAUUUUGAUUGUUAUAAAAAGGUUAAGGGGAUGUGGCUCCUUCGGGAGUGUUAUAACCCUUAGCGUAAUGUAACGAUUAGGAUUGAGGUUUGCAACGAAUACCUUUUAGGGCAGUUUCACCUGGCCUCUCGUGGAAUUAUAGAUAGUUAAGAGCAUGCUCUUACUGUCUAUGAUUCUACGAAAAGGUUAGUGUAAAACUAAUUCGUUAAGGAUGUUGACGUA